UCUUAUACUGAUUAUUCUGCGAAAAAGACAUUCUCCCUUCUUUAAUUUAAUUAGCUAAUGCAGAGCUGAAGGUUGUCCAGCAGACACACAAAAAGAUGCAUCAUCCUUCUUGAAAUUAAAGAGCUGUGGGGGCAGAAGCUUUCCCAUUCAUGUGUGGCAUAAGGAACAUGUAAAGUCUCUCAAAGAAGACAGAAAACCUCCCUGUGAUAUAUAGA
rnacentral:lncRNA from 1 species